rnacentral:tRNA from 1 species
GAGGGUAUGGCUCAGUGGUAGAGUGUGCGCUUAGUAUGAAUGAGGUCCUGGGUUCAAUCCCCAGUACCUCCA